rnacentral:rRNA from 1 species
UACGGGGGGGGUAAGCGUUGUUCGGAAUUACUGGGCGUAAAGGGCUCGUAGGCGGCCAACUAAGUCGGACGUGAAAUCCCUCAGCUUAACUGGGGAACUGCGUCCGAUACUGGAAGACUUGAAUCCGGGAGAGGUGAGUGGAACUGCGAGUGUAGAGGUGAAAUUCGUAGAUAUUCGCAAGAACACCAGUGGCGAAGGCGGCUCACUGGCCCGGUACUGACGCUGAGGUGCGAAAGCGUGGGGAGCAAACAGG